rnacentral:rRNA from 1 species
GACGAACGCUGGCGGCGUGCUUAACACAUGCAAGUCGAGCGAGAGCCAGUCGAGGGGUAACCCUCGUCUGGGGACAGCGGCGAACGGGUGCGUAACACGUGGGCAACCUGCCCCUCGACACUGGGAGUAACCCCGGGAAACCCGGGAACGGCUAAUAACCGGACGUACUCUCGGCCGGACUCACAUGGCGUGGCCGGACGGAAAGGUACCGGCCCGGUCCGAGGGAGUGGGCCCGGCCGGCCGUACUCAG